GCUCAUUUCUUUCUUCUUUUCUCUAUACGUUGGUGUUCUAACCAAAAUCACCAAAGCGAUGUCCUGUCCGAUCGAUUCAGGAACCAUCCAACGAAUACCGAAGUGCUGUGCUUUGUGAAUUUCGUUAAACGGAAUCCAAAGUACUAUAUUUUGUGAGUUCAUUAAAUGGAUACCAAAGUACUGUCUGAAUAAGACUAUACUUUGCGAAAUUCGUUAAGGUUCGAAUCUCGUGACUACCGUUAAGGUUUGAUUUGGGUUUUACACAAAUACGUAUUCCAUUCUGUUAAACUAUAUGUUUAACUACCAAAAAUACUCCCAGCUACACACUCACAAUCAAACAAACUAUUAAAUCAUCAGAAGAUCCAGAAUAAUAAAGUGCAUGCUUAAUUAUCGGAAGAAGUAGAAUCAAGAAGCUUGUUAACUCAAUCUUGCAUGCUUAUAAAGUGAGUCAUUCUCUUUUUAUCAACUGUUUUACAAAACUCCAAAUUAUUUUCCAAAGUUAUAAUUACAGGGAUUAAGUCUAUGUAAUCACCAAAUUACAGCCGGUAUGUGGGGUUUUGUAUACAUUACUUAUUUCCCGUCACCAUUGGACAACGUGUUAGCCAAGGGGUGAUCUGACCACAGUCACAGACACCAUUUGGACAACGAGAUAGCCAAUGGGUAGUCGAGUGACAAAUAUUGUGGGUAAUUACAGUAGAUUGGAGUAAGGAUUGGAUCCAGCACUGAAGGACUUCAAGAAGUGGCUUAUUUUAUUAAUUAAAUCAACUUAAGAAAAAUUGUUUUUGGGUUUAUCCCGUAUUAAAAGCUACCUUUGUAAAACAUGGAAUUUAUUCCAUCUAUUUAAGUAAAAUCCGGUGUUUCUAAACUCUGAUAUUUUUCCUAACUCACGGUCCUGAUGAAAUUUCCGCUGCAAUGUUUUUCAAAAUAAUCACCGGUACCACUUGACUGCUCACGGCUUCCGAUUCCGGCCAGGAUGGGGUUGACACCUUUUCUUUAAAGAUCAACACAAUCCGGAAUAUAUCUUCAUAUUCGGCGCUUGUUAUUCAAGUAUUUUCCUCUCUUCUCUUCUUCAUUUUCUUUUUUUUCUUGAAUCCAUGGCCAAAAUAGGCAUUCGGUCCUCACCUGGAGUGAGCCCUAAUAAGAAUGACAGUAUCAAGUCUCAAAACUUACUGAUGAAUCCUUCAUCAGAAAUAUGCAAGUUCACCGACCCUUAAAUCCAAAGCCUUGCAUCUUGUUUUCCUCCGAGAGCCAUCUUUAGGCCAUUUGAUCCUACUGCUCGCAACAAUGCGAUUUCUGUAGGAUCAAAUCAAGCCAAAAUCUGAUUUUGUAUAAUAAAUCAAGAUGA
rnacentral:lncRNA from 1 species